rnacentral:lncRNA from 1 species
CUACUUUUAGAAGAAAUAAUUCCUACUGGAAGGCUCAGCAUCACCUGUGGUGCUGGAAGCAAGUAUGCUUUGCGAACAAGUCACAUUUAAGUUUUCUCAGUGGUAUUUGCAAAAGGUGAUCAGUAGUUCACUUGGUGUUUCGAAGAAGAAUCCAUGAAGAAAGAAAGCAAGUCCUGAAGGAGGAAAAGAGAGCUGCCAGACUGAGAGUGUGAAUAUUCCCAACUGGAGUUCCCGUGCGAAGCACUGAUGAGACAUAAACCUAAAAGAUUCUUACAGUAAAGAAACGGACAAUGACGCAAAACUUUUUAUUAACAAAGAUAAACUAGUUGUAUAAAAGAAACAAAUUAGCAUAUAUAUUGAAAUAUUUUUAAAACAGUGUUGUGUCUUCAUAUGCUGCCACUCCUUGGUUAAAUAAAAGCAAGUAUACUCCUGGUUAUAGAUUUAUUAUGCAGCCUGCGCUGAACAGGGAAAACUUAGUGAAUAAGACAGUGACAGAGAGGGUGACCUUAUUUGCUGGACUACAUGUUUUUACAUAUGAGUGCCCCUUCAGAAAGAUCUGAAAUCUUGAAUAACAUAUGCAGAAAUCUGACACAGAAACCAUAACAAUCCUUGUAAGUCACACCAUGAAGCUAGGACCAAAGACAGAAAACAGGCUUCUGAAAUUGAAAGUUUAAUUUUGUUUCUAUGUUGCACGUUUUCCAUAUCCACAGAAAAAGAUGGUGUGCCCAAUAAUACUGAGAUGCCAACCCCACUUGAUUAAGAAAUGCCCAAGGAUGGGGCCGGGGAUUUAGCCCAGUGGUUCCAUCGCCUGCCUCACAAGCACAAGGACCCGAGUUUGAUCCCCGAUACCAAAAAAAAUAGAAAUGCCCAAGGAAUCAGUAGAGCAGGGCAUGUCUGGGAAGGUCAUGCUGAGGUGGCCUUGGGGACCACAGAUGGGCAUCCACACCCUUCCCUCAGGGCUGCUUCCUGCUGCUGUGCUCUAUGACACCUUCCUCAGGAGCCAGUGCAGGACACCUUGAAACCAUGAGCAAAUGGAACCUCUUGUCCUUCGUGCUGUGGGUGUUGGCUUGUGUUUCAGGUAAGAGGAAGCUGAGCCAGACGUGUAAGCAAACUUAACUAAGUUAUGACUGAGGGCACAGAUUUUGUUACUUUUCACAUAAGGAAUUGUCUGGAAAGGAAUAAGACUGAAGUUGGUGAGGAUAACUGAGAUCUACACAAGGGAGUCGAUGCCAAGAACUACAGGAAUCACAAUGGGAAUGAAAUAAACAAACAUGGAACAGAGUGGACCCUGUGUGGGCAGCUGAGCGAGAUGGACAGUCAUAAGUAACCCUCAGGACUUUGGCUUGAAAUCAUUUAUACAUGGGGCUGGCCUUUGUUCAGACAAGAAAGGAAAAUACAGUAAAGUGCAAAUGAUAUCUGUGUUAGUCUUUGUUGUGUUAAAGUGUCCAACUAUUUUAGUUUUACAAGCAGAAAAUGACUGCAUCUCAUUCAGAGAUUUUCAGAUUGUGGAAAUGUGCUUCACUGCUAUAGAUUCUUGAAUGAAGUAACAGCAAGUGUAUUUUUCUUCAGUGUAACUGUUGUGUUUUAGAUAGAAUGUUCCCCAAAAGCUCAUGUGGUCAGAGGCAGGGAUUUGGAAGGUGACUGAUCGUGGGGCACCUUAGCCAUCAGUGGAUUCAUCCUGAUGGGUUCACAGCUGAAUGUGCUGUUAGCAGUUGGAGCCUGGUGGGAAGAAGUGAGUCACAGGGACGUGACCCCGAGAGGUGUCUCCCUCCCUGGUGCCCCCUCCUCUCUGCCUCCUGAAACGUGGGCUGAGAACCCCUUCCUUUGCCACGCUCCUGUGCCAUUCUGCCUGUGCCUUGGGACCUCCCAUGAACCUCCCAGGGGUUACAGCUUGAGCUAGCGUCACACUUUGGCUUUAUCCACGAGGUGUCUGUCCUGUAAGGAUGCAGAAUUCAAGAGUCAGAGAGGCUUCCUCCUGGAUUUCAGAGGAAGGCUUGGGAGGCCAGGCAGGCUGCCCCUGGGACAGCAGUGAGUGAAGCUGUGAGAGUGAAGUCAAAAGUGCCGUGGAGACCCCAGAGCCUUGGAAGUACUAGGAACAUGGAACAUCCGCUGAGCAACACCACAAACAGUGAGAGGAGCCGCUGGGAGAGAGGCCACGGGGCCACGAUGAGCACUGCCGUGGAGCUGGGCUGCCCCAAGGCCCGUGGCUCUCACAACUGCCCUGAUGCUGGACCUGAAACAACAGGACUUAAUGUUUACUCUGCUAGGUUUCAGAAUUGCUUUGGUCCCAUUCCUUUUCGUCUGCCUGUUUCCCCCUUUUAGAAUGGGAAUG